UACAGAGGGGGCAAGCGUUGUUCGGAAUUACUGGGCGUAAAGGGCGCGUAGGCGGCCUUCUAAGUCGAACGUGAAAUCCCCGGGCUCAACCCGGGAACUGCGUCCGAUACUGGAAGGCUUGAAUCCGGGAGAGGGAUGUGGAAUUCCAGGUGUAGCGGUGAAAUGCGUAGAUAUCUGGAGGAACACCGGUGGCGAAGGCGACAUCCUGGACCGGUAUUGACGCUGAGGAGCGAAAGCUAGGGGAGCGAACAGG
rnacentral:rRNA from 1 species